rnacentral:rRNA from 1 species
UCCCCUACGGGGGGCUGCAGUGAGGAAUAUUGGUCAAUGGACGCAAGUCUGAACCAGCCACGUCGCGUGAAGGAAGACGGCCCUACGGGUUGUAAACUUCUUUUAUACGGGAAUAAAGUGCCCCACGCGUGGGGUUUUGCAUGUACCGUAUGAAUAAGGAUCGGCUAACUCCGUGCCAGCAGCCGCGGUAAUACGGAGGAUCCGAGCGUUAUCCGGAUUUAUUGGGUUUAAAGGGGGCUCAGGCGGGGGAUUAAGUCUGCGGUGAAAUUUUGCGGCUCAACUGUACAAGUGCCGUCGAAACUGGUUUCCUUGAGUGUGGAUGAGGUAGGCGGAAUUUGUGGUGUAGCGGUGAAAUGCAUAGAUAUCACGAGGAACUCCGAUUGCGCAGGCAGCUUACUAAACCAUAACUGACGCUCAAGCACGAAGGCGUGGGGAUCAAACAGGAUUAGAUACCCUAGUAGUCUA